ensembl:lncRNA
UGUCUUCCCAUCAUCCCAUCCCUCUGUCCUCCCAUCAUCCCGUCCUUCUGUCUUCCCAUCAUCCCGUCCUUCUGUUCUCCCAUCAAUCUGUCUUUCCGUCCUCUUGUCAUCCAUUCCUUCUGUCCUUCUGUCCUUCCAUCUUUCCAUCAUCCUGUCCUCCCAUCACCCCGUCCCUCUGUCCUCCCAUCACCCCGUCCCUCUGUCCUCCCGUCACCCCGUCCCUCUGUCCUCCCAUCAUCCCGUCCCUCUGUCCUCCCAUCAUCCCGUCCUUCUGUCCUUCCAUCUUUCCAGCAUCCCGUCCUCCCAUCAGUCUGUCUUUCUGUUCCCCUGUCAUCCCAUCCGUUCAUCAUCCUGUCCUCCCAUCACCCCGUCCCUCUGUCCUCCCAUCAUCCCGUCCUUCUGUCCUUCCAUCUUUCCAUCAUUCUGUCCUUCCAUCAGUCUGUCUUUCUGUCCUCCUGUCAUCCCAUCCAUUCAUCAUCCUGUCCUCCCAUCAUCCCGUCCUUCUGUCCUUCUUUCCAUCUUUCCAUCCUCACAUCAUCCCGUCCUCCCAUCAGUCUGUCUUUCCGUCCUCCUUUCAUCCCUUCCUUCUGUCCUUCCGUCAUCCCGUCCGUUCAUCAUCCUGUCCUCCCAUCAUCCCGUCUUCCUGUCCUUCCAUCAUCCUCUCCUAUCAUCCCAUCCUUCUGUCCUUCUGUCCUUCCUUCAUCCCAUCCUCCCAUCAAUCCAUCCCCCCAUCAUCCCGUCCUUCUGUCCUUCCAUCGUCCCAUCCCUCUGUCCUCCCGUCCUCCUGUCCUUCAUCCCAUCCUCCCAUCCUCCUGUCUUUCCAUCAUCAUCCUCUCCUAUCAUCCCAUCCGUCUGUCCUUCUGUCCUCCCAUCCUCCCAUCAUCCCACCCUUCCAUCAUCCCGUCCCUCUGUCCUCCCAUCCUCCCGUCUUUCCAUCCUCCCGCCAUCCCCUCCUUCCACCAUCCCCAUUCUUCCAAGAUUCCCCCAUUCCUUCAUCCCAUCCUUCUGCCAUCCCACCCAAUCCCCGAUCCUAAUCUCCGUGAUUCCAUCAUUCUGCAAUCCCAGUCCUUCCCUUCCCUGACCCCACUCUUCCACGACCCCACCCUUCCAUGACCCCACUCUUCCAUGACCCCAUUCUUCCAUGACCCCACUCUUCCACGAUCCCACUCUUCACGAUCCCACUCUUCCACGACCCCACUCUUCACGAUCCCACUCUUCACGAUCCCACCGUUCCAUGACCCCACCGUUCCAUGACCCCACCCUUCCAUGACCCCACUCUUCCACGACCCCACUCUUCCACGACCCCACUCUUCACGAUCCCACUCUUCCAUGACCCCACCGUUCCAUGACCCCACCGUUCCAUGACCCCACCGUUCCAUGACCCCACCGUUCCAUGACCCCACUCUUCCAUGACCCCACUCUUCCAUGACCCCACUCUUCCAUGACCCCACUCUUCCAUGACCCCACUCUUCCAUGACCCCACCGUUCCAUGACCCCACCGUUCCAUGACCCCACCGUUCCAUGACCCCACCGUUCCAUGACCCCACCCUUCCACGACCCCACCCUUCCAUGACCCCACUCUUCCACGACCCCACUCUUCCACGAUCCCACUCUUCCACGAUCCCACCCUUCCAUGACCCCACUCUUCCAUGACCCCAUUCUUCCACGAUCCCACUCUUCCACUAUCCCACUCUUCCACGACCCCACUCUUCACGAUCCCACUCUUCACGAUCCCACUCUUCACGAUCCCACCGUUCCAUGACCCCACCGUUCCAUGACCCCACUCUUCCAUGACCCCACUCUUCCAUGACCCCAGUGUUCCAUGAUCCCACCUUUCCAUGACCCCAUUGUUCCAUGACCCCAUUGUUCCAUGACCCCAUUGUUCCAUGAUCCCACUCUUCCAUGACCCCAUUGUUCCAUGA